UCCACACUGGAGACUGGACACUCUCAGGUAUGGACAGACAGGUGGACACUCUCAGGUAUGGACAGAUGGACACUCUCAGGUAUGGACAGACAGGUGGACACUCUCAGGUAUGGACAGAUGGACACUCUCAGGUAUGGACAGACAGGUGGACACUCUCAGGUAUGGACAGAUGGACAGACACUCUGACUAACUGAGGGACUGUGGUUCAUGUUUAAUGGUGGAUAUGAGUGAAGGUGUAUGAAGCUGAUUGUGUCUUUGUCUCUUCCUCCAGGAUGGACCAUGGUGGACUGCAGACACUGAAACCUGGUCUGAGGAAGUGAGGGAGAGUCUCUCCUGCGGACAGAAACUCUGCUGACUGAAGAUCAGCUGCUGAAAUCAAACAUCAC